CCUGAUCCAGCCAUGCCGCGUGAGUGAAGAAGGCCUUCGGGUUGUAAAGCUCUUUCGGACGGAAAGAAAUCGCCCGGGCUAAUAUCCCGUGUGCAUGACGGUACCGUGAGAAGAAGCACCGGCUAACUACGUGCCAGCAGCCGCGGUAAUACGUAGGGUGCGAGCGUUAAUCGGAAUUACUGGGCGUAAAGCGUGCGCAGGCGGUUUUGUAAGUCGGGUGUGAAAGCCCCGGGCUUAACCUGGGAACUGCGCUUGAGACUGCGGGGCUUGAGUGUGGCAGAGGGAGGUGGAAUUCCACGUGUAGCAGUGAAAUGCGUA
rnacentral:rRNA from 1 species